rnacentral:rRNA from 1 species
UACAGAGGUCUCAAGCGUUGUUCGGAUUCAUUGGGUGUAAAGGGUGCGUAGGUGGCGCGCUAAGUCAGGUGUGAAAUUUCGGAGCUUAACUCCGAAACUGCAUUUGAUACUGGCGUGCUUGAGGACUGGAGAGGAGACUGGAAUUCAUGGUGUAGCAGUGAAAUGCGUAGAGAUCAUGAGGAAGACCAGUGGCGAAGGCGGGUCUCUGGACAGUUCCUGACACUGAGGCACGAAGGCCAGGGGAGCAAACGGG